rnacentral:rRNA from 1 species
UACGUAGGGGGCAAGCGUUGUCCGGAAUUACUGGGCGUAAAGCGUGCGCAGGCGGUUCGUUGUGUCGGCGGUGAAAGCCCCGGGCUUAACCUGGGAAUGGCCGUCGAAACUGGCGAACUGGAGUGUGGCAGAGGGGGGUGGAAUUCCGCGUGUAGCAGUGAAAUGCGUAGAGAUGCGGAGGAACACCGAUGGCGAAGGCAGCCCCCUGGGCUGACACUGACGCUCAGGCACGAAAGCGUGGGGAGCAAACAGG